rnacentral:rRNA from 1 species
GACGAACGCUGGCGGCGUGCUUAACACAUGCAAGUCGAGCGGAAAGGCCCUGCUUUUGUGGGGUGCUCGAGUGGCGAACGGGUGAGUAACACGUGAGUAACCUGCCCUUGACUUUGGGAUAACUUCAGGAAACUGGGGCUAAUACCGGAUAGGAGCUCCUGCUGCAUGGUGGGGGUUGGAAAGUUUCGGCGGUUGGGGAUGGACUCGCGGCUUAUCAGCUUGUUGGUGGGGUAGUGGCUUACCAAGGCUUUGACGGGUAGCCGGCCUGAGAGGGUGACCGGCCACAUUGGGACUGAGAUACGGCCCAGACUCCUACGGGAGGCAGCAGUGGGGAAUAUUGCACAAUGGGCGGAAGCCUGAUGCGGCAACGCCGCGUGCGGGAUGACGGCCUUCGGGUUGUAAACCGCUUUCGCCUGUGACGAAGCGUGAGUGACGGUAAUGGGUAAAGAAGCACCGGCUAACUACGUG